rnacentral:lncRNA from 1 species
CCACAAAGGCUGAAGAGUUAAGUAUUUAAAGACUCAGAAUUACUUGAGAUAGUGAAAAAACGUUAGAGAGAAAAAUUUGAGCUUGGCUUCGUAGUCUAAAUUUCUUUGUCAGUAAAAACCUUCAUUUGUGGUAAAAUUUGGGCAGGGGAGUAAUGGUAUUUGAUAAGGGGUGGGGAAGAAUGUGAACUCAAAAUUAUAACCCAUUUUCUUUCUUUUUAACAUUUUCAGGUCAACACCAAACGUUUAGGUUCUGUGUGAUCAAAAUAGAAGGUCUUCACGUAUAUGGACCUGUCCUCCGCUAAGAUGUAAUUAUCAGUUGAUCAGGUUGAAAGACGGCUGAGUAGAUCCGGCACUAACAACAGAAUCAUCACACCAUGGAGAAACAAAUGUUCUAACAAUGUUCAUAACUCUACACGAUCCUUUCCUUUUUCACCACAAUCUAUGCUUCCCCAUCUGGCAGACAAGUAUGGAUCCCUUUCAACAUGGGGGAUCUCAUUGCUUGCGCUGGAGGAAGAUUUUUGAGCUCCU